rnacentral:rRNA from 2 species
GAACAUGAGAGUUUGAUCCUGGCUCAGGAUGAACGCUGGCGGCGUGCUUAACACAUGCAAGUCGAACGAAACACCUUAUUUGAUUUUCUUCGGAACUGAAGAUUUGGUGAUUGAGUGGCGGACGGGUGAGUAACGCGUGGGUAACCU